UACGUAUGGUGCAAGCGUUAUCCGGAUUUACUGGGUGUAAAGGGAGCGCAGGCGGUGCGGCAAGUCUGAUGUGAAAGCCCGGGGCUCAACCCCGGUACUGCAUUGGAAACUGUCGUACUAGAGUGUCGGAGGGGCAAGCGGAAUUCCUAGUGUAGCGGUGAAAUGCGUAGAUAUUAGGAGGAACACCAGUGGCGAAGGCGGCUUACUGGACGAUAACUGACGCUGAGGCUCGAAAGCGUGGGGAGCAAACAGG
rnacentral:rRNA from 1 species